GUCUAAGUAUAAGCAAUUAUACCGCGAAACUGCGAAUGGCUCAUUAAAUCAGUUAUCGUCUAUUUGAUAGUACCUUACUACUUGGAUAACCGUGGUAAUUCUAGAGCUAAUACAUGCUGAAAACCCCGACUUCGGAAGGGAUGUAUUUAUUAGAUUAAAAGCCAAUGCCCUUCGGGGCUCCCUGGUGAUUCAUAAUAACUGCUCGAAUCGCACGGCCUUGCGCCGGCGAUGGUUCAUUCAAAUUUCUGCCCUAUCAACUUUCGACGGCUGGGUCUUGGCCAGCCGUGGUGACAACGGGUAACGGAGGGUUAGGGCUCGACCCCGGAGAAGGAGCCUGAGAAACGGCUACUACAUCCAAGGAAGGCAGCAGGCGCGCAAAUUACCCAAUCCCGACUCGGGGAGGUAGUGACAAUAAAUACUGAUACAGGGCUCUUUUGGGUCUUGUAAUUGGAAUGAGUACAAUUUAAUUCCCUUAACGAGGAACAAUUGGAGGGCAAGUCUGGUGCCAGCAGCCGCGGUAAUUCCAGCUCCAAUAGCGUAUAUUAAAGUUGUUGCAGUUAAAAAGCUCGUAGUUGAACCUUGCGGCCUGGCUGGCCGGUCCGCCUCACCGCGUGCACUGGUCCGGCCGGGCCUUUCCCUCUGGGGAGCCGCAUGCCCUUCACUGGGCGUGUCGGGGAACCAGGACUUUUACUUUGAAAAAAUUAGAGUGUUCAAAGCAGGCUUAUGCUCGAAUACAUUAGCAUGGAAUAAUAGAAUAGGACGCGUGGUUCUAUUUUGUUGGUUUCUAGGACCGCCGUAAUGAUUAAUAGGGACAGUCGGGGGCAUCAGUAUUCAGUUGCGAGAGGUGAAAUUCUUGGACCAACUGAAGACUAACUACUGCGAAAGCAUUUGCCAAGGAUGUUUUCAUUAAUCAGGAACGAAAGUUAGGGGAUCGAAGACGAUCAGAUACCGUCGUAGUCUUAACCAUAAACUAUGCCGACUAGGGAUCGGGCGGUGUUAUCUUUUGACCCGCUCGGCACCUUGCACGAAAGUACAAGUUUCUGGGUUCUGGGGGGAGUAUGGUCGCAAGGCUGAAACUUAAAGAAAUUGACGGAAGGGCACCACCAGGGGUGGAGCCUGCGGCUUAAUUUGACUCAACACGGGGAAACUCACCAGGUCCAGACACGAUGAGGAUUGACAGAUUGAGAGCUCUUUCUUGAUUUUGUGGGUGGUGGUGCAUGGCCGUUCUUAGUUGGUGGAGUGAUUUGUCUGCCUAAUCGCGAUAACGAACGAGACCUUAACCUGCUAAAUAGCCCGCGCUGCCCCGGCAGCGCGCCGGCUUCUUAGAGGGACUAUCGGCU
rnacentral:rRNA from 2 species